UACGGAGGGAGCUAGCGUUGUUCGGAAUUACUGGGCGUAAAGCGCACGUAGGCGGCUUUGUAAGUUAGAGGUGAAAGCCCGGGGCUCAACUCCGGAAUUGCCUUUAAGACUGCAUCGCUUGAAUCCAGGAGAGGUGAGUGGAAUUCCGAGUGUAGAGGUGAAAUUCGUAGAUAUUCGGAAGAAACACCAGUGGCGAAGGGCGG
rnacentral:rRNA from 1 species